rnacentral:rRNA from 1 species
GACGAACGCUGGCGGCGUGCCUAAUACAUGCAAGUAGAACGCUGAAGAGAGGAGCUUGCUCUUCUUGGAUGAGUUGCGAACGGGUGAGUAACGCGUAGGUAACCUGCCUUGUAGCGGGGGAUAACUAUUGGAAACGAUAGCUAAUACCGCAUAACAAUGGAUGACACAUGUCAUUUAUUUGAAAGGGGCAAUUGCUCCACUACAAGAUGGACCUGCGUUGUAUUAGCUAGUAGGUGAGGUAAUGGCUCACCUAGGCGACGAUACAUAGCCGACCUGAGAGGGUGAUCGGCCCCACUGGGACUGAGACACGGCCCAGACUCCUACGGGAGGCAGCAGUAGGGAAUCUUCGGCAAUGGGGGCAACCCUGACCGAGCAACGCCGCGUGAGUGAAGAAGGUUUUCGGAUCGUAAAGCUCUGUUGUAAGUCAAGAACGGGUGUGGGAGUGGAAAGUUCACACUGUGACGGUAGCUUACCAGAAAGGGACGGCUAACUACGUG